UCGCCAUGGAGUCAAUACUCUAUUAGCAUAGUUAAAACUAUAUCAAAUCACAGGUGGGUGUAAAUGUCGAUACUAUAUUUAAAACCGUGGAUCGUAUCAAAAACUAGCUUUGUAUUUGUGAUGGCUGUGGGGAGCUCAACAAGAGAUGAAAGGGCAAAGGUCUUUUGUACCCCAGAAUCUUGUGCUCUGGGGAAUCCCGUACGCGUGUACCAACAAAAACAAACAUAGAUUGCAAUCAAAAGGCACUGCUCUCGUCUAUUCUACUGGCAAAUGGGCUCUCGGA
rnacentral:lncRNA from 1 species